CGUGCAGGAAGAAGGCUUCGGGUUGUAAACUGCUUUUGUACGGAGCGAAAAGGUCUUCCCUAAUACGGGAGGCUGAUGACGGUACCGUAAGAAUAAGCACCGGCUAACUACGUGCCAGCAGCCGCGGUAAUACGUAGGGUGCGAGCGUUAAUCGGAAUUACUGGGCGUAAAGCGUGCGCAGGCGGUUUUGUAAGACAGGCGUGAAAUCCCCGGGCUCAACCUGGGAAUGGCGCUUGUGACUGCAAAGCUGGAGUGCGGCAGAGGGGGAUGGAAUUCCGCGUGUAGCAGUGAAAUGCGUAGAUAUGCGGAGGAACACCGAUGGCGAAGGCAAUCCCCUGGGCCUGCACUGACGCUCAUGCACGAAAGCGUGGGGACAAAACAGGAUUAGAUACCCUGGUAAUCCACGCCCUAAACGAUGUCAACUGGUUGUUGG
rnacentral:rRNA from 1 species